rnacentral:rRNA from 1 species
UACGGAGGAUGCAAGCGUUAUCCGGAAUUAUUGGGCGAAAAGCGUCCGCAGGUGGUGGUUCAAGUCUGCUGUCAAAGCGUGGAGCUUAACUCCAUACAGGCAGUGGAAACUGAAUGACUAGAGUUCGGUAGGGGUAGCGGGAAUUCCCAGUGUAGCGGUGAAAUGCGUAGAUAUUGGGAAGAACACCGGCGGCGAAAGCGCUCUACUGGGCCGAGACUGACACUGAGGGACGAAAGCUAGGGGAGCGAAAGGG